UUUCCUACGGGUGGCAGCAGUGGGGAAUAUUGCGCAAUGGGGGAAACCCUGACGCAGCGACGCCGUGUGAGGGAAGAAGGCCUUCGGGUCGUAAACCUCUGUCGGGAGGGAAGAACCGCCAGGUUCCGAACAGGGACCUGGCCUGACGGUACCUCCGAAGGAAGCGCCGGCUAACUCCGUGCCAGCAGCCGCGGUAAUACGGAGGGCGCGAGCGUUAAUCGGAAUCACUGGGCGUAAAGCGCACGUAGGCGGCCAGAUAAGUCGGGCGUGAAAGCCCUCGGCUCAACCGAGGAAUUGCGUUCGAUACUGUUUGGCUUGAGUCCUGGAGAGGGUGGCGGAAUUCCGGGUGUAGGAGUGAAAUCCGUAGAUAUCCGGAGGAACACCGGUGGCGAAGGCGGCCACCUGGACAGGUACUGACGCUGAGGUGCGAAAGCGUGGGGAGCAAACAGGAUUAGAUACCCGAGUAGUCGUG
rnacentral:rRNA from 1 species